UUGUUGAUGAUCUUGUACAUUUUUGAUAAUCUAAAUCACUAUUUGGUUUAAAUUUUUGAUGAAACAACUUCUUAGAUUUGAUUAGUAAUUGUAGUACUAAAUCGACAUCAUAGAAUGGUUAUGCUUUCUAGCUUAAAAAUAAAAUGAGAGUAGUGAUUUUUCUUAUCAGGAGACUUAAAUUCAUAAGGCUGCUCUGUUAGUUAU
rnacentral:lncRNA from 1 species